UACGUAGGGAGCAAGCGUUGUCCGGAAUCAUUGGGCGUAAAGCGCGUGUAGGCGGUCCGGUAAGUCGGUUGUGAAAGUCCAGGGCUCAACCCUGGGAUGCCGAUCGAUACUGCCGGACUAGAGUCCGGAAGAGGCGAGUGGGAAUUCCCGGUGUAGCGGUGAAAUGCGCAGAGUAUCGGGAGGAACACCAAUGGCGAAGGCAGCUCGCUGGGACGGUACUGACGCUGAGACGCGAAAGCGUGGGGAGCAA
rnacentral:rRNA from 1 species